rnacentral:rRNA from 1 species
GAUGAACGCUGGCGGCGUGCCUAAUACAUGCAAGUCGAGCGAACGGACGAGAAGCUUGCUUCUCUGAUGUUAGCGGCGGACGGGUGAGUAACACGUGGAUAACCUACCUAUAAGACUGGGAUAACUUCGGGAAACCGGAGCUAAUACCGGAUAAUAUUUUGAACCGCAUGGUUCAAAAGUGAAAGACGGUCUUGCUGUCACUUAUAGAUGGAUCCGCGCUGCAGUAGCUAGUUGGUAAGGUAACGGCUUACCAAGGCAACGUUGCAUAGCCGACCUGAGAGGGUGAUCGGCAACACUGGAACUGGGACACGGUCAAGACUCCUACGGGAGGCAGCAGAAGGGAAUCUUCCGCAAUGGGCGAAAGCCUGACGGAGCAACGCCGCGUGAGUGAUGAAGGUCUUCGGAUCGUAAAACUCUGUUAUUAGGGAAGAACAUAUGUGUAAGUAACUGUGCACAUCUUGACGGUACCUAAUCAGAAAGCCACGGCUAACUACGUG